ACGAAGGCCCUGCAGCUUGACAGUGAAAUCAACGGACGCGUCACCAACCUCGCUGCCGGCGUGCAGCUUUCAGUCAACGUGGCACAGGCCAGGGUUGUUCCGACGUGUUCAAGCUGCCAAUGGAUUGAAAGGGCUAAGCAAGGUGGAGACCACACGGACCCAACUCGGCAGCUGCAGCGCCGGACGGGGAGUGUUGCGCGCAGGGAAACCCCAUGGGUCCGCAAGCACAAGGUGGGCCACACGCUCAGGAAAGCGUAUUGCAUACGAGGCAGCCAGAAAGCCACCCAUGCUGUGUCCCAGCAAUACAAAGCGGUCGAGACCGACCUGUGCUCGCCAUUCUUCAAUGCCUACAAAGUUGCACUCUUACUCUGCACAAACUGGUAUUCAGCCUCCAAAGAAUCCCUUGAAAGACGUGGUCGUGAACUGCGGCCAAAGCCC